UCCAAAUGGUAUAUACAGAAUUUGAUCGC
rnacentral:sRNA from 1 species